rnacentral:rRNA from 1 species
CGCGGCCUAUCAGCUUGUUGGUGAGGUAACGGCUCACCAAGGCAUCGACGGGUAGCUGGUCUGAGAGGAUGAUCAGCCACACUGGGACUGAGACACGGCCCAGACUCCUACGGGAGGCAGCAGUGGGGAAUAUUGCACAAUGGGCAAAAGCCUGAUGCAGCAACGCCGCGUGCGGGAAGAAGGCCUUAGGGUUGUAAACCGCUUUCAGCAGGGAAGAAAAUGACGGUACCUGCAGAAGAAGGUGCGGCCAACUACGUGCCAGCAGCCGCGGUGACACGUAGGCACCAAGCGUUGUCCGGAUUUAUUGGGCGUAAAGAGCUCGUAGGCGGUUCGGUAAGUCGGGUGUGAAAACUCUGGGCUCAACCCAGAGACGCCACCCGAUACUGCUGUGACUUGAGUACGGUAGGGGAGCGGGGAAUUCCUGGUGUAGCGGUGAAAUGCGCAGAUAUCAGGAGGAACACCAGUGGCGAAGGCGCCGCUCUGGGCCGUAACUGACGCUGAGGAGCGAAAGCAUGGGUAGCAAACAGGAUUAGAUACCCUGGUAGUCCAUGCCGUAAACGUUGGGCACUAGGUGUGGGUCUCAACCAACGAGAUCCGCGCCGUCGCUAACGCAUUAAGUGCCCCGCCUGGGGAGUACGG